CAAAAGCGUAUAUUAAAGUUGUUGCAGUUAAAAAGCUCGUGGUUGAACCUUGGGCUUGGCUGGCCGGUCCAUCUUUUUUGAUGCGUACUGGACCCAGCCGAGCCUUUCCUUCUGGCUAGCCUUUUGGCGAACCAGGACUUUUACUUUGAAAAAAUUAGAGUGUUCAAAGCAGGCCUUUGCUCGAAUAUAUUAGCAUGGAAUAAUAGAAUAGGACGUUAUGGUUCUAUUUUGUUGGUUUCUAGGACCAUCGUAAUGAUUAAUAGGGACGGUCGGGGGUAUCAGUAUUCAGUUGUCAGAGGUGAAAUUCUUGGAUUUACUGAAGACUAACUACUGCGAAAGCAUUUACCAAGGACGUUUUCAUUAA
rnacentral:rRNA from 1 species